rnacentral:rRNA from 1 species
UGUGGUUUAAUUUGAUGCAACGCGAAGAACCUUACCUACUUUUGACAUCCAGAGAACUUAGCAGAGAUGCUUUGGUGCCUUCGGGAACUCUGAGACAGGUGCUGCAUGGCUGUGGUCAGCUCGUGUUGUGAAAUGUUGGGUUAAGUCCCGCAACGAGCGCAACCCUUAUCCUUUGUUGCCAGCGGUUCGGCCGGGAACUCAAAGGAGACUGCCAGUGAUAAACCGGAGGAAGGUGGGGAUGACGUCAAGUCAUCAUGGCCCUUACGAGUA